AGCGAACGCUGGCGGCAUGCCUAACACAUGCAAGUCGCACGGGGGGGCUUCGGCCUCCCAGUGGCGGACGGGUGAGGAACGCGUAGGGACCUGUCGAGGGGUGGGGGAUAACCGCGGGAAACUGCGGCUAAUACCGCAUGACGCCGCGGCGUGACAGCCGGGGCCAAAGGCGAAAGCCGCCCGCCGAGGGGGCUGCGUCCGAUUAGCUGGUUGGCGGGGUAGCGGCCCACCAAGGCGUCGAUCGGUAGCUGGUCUGAGAGGGUGAUCAGCCACACCGGGACUGAGACACGGUCCGGAAUCCUACGGGAGGCAGCAGUGGGGAAUAUUGGAAAAUGGGCGCAAGCCUGAUCCAGCAAUGCCGCGUGGGUGAAGAAGGUCUUCGGAUUGUAAAGCCCUUUAGGCGGGGACGAUGGUGACGGUACCCGCAGAAGAAGCCCCGGCUAACUUCGUG
rnacentral:rRNA from 1 species